AUAAAACCAUUCUCAAUCAUCUGCAUGGAUUUACAUCCUGCCAAAAAAUAUUUUUUAUGUAGCAGAGAUCAGACAAUAUGGAAAGGCAAAAAAUGACCCUAUAAGAAUUGCUGUAGAUAAAAACACCUCAAGAAAACCCCAUCAUCAGACUCAGUAUUACUUCUGGAUUGUUUUCCCACAGAUCCACCUCCAUAUCUCUUUUCUUAUCACUUAAGUUUUUAGAGAGGAAAAAAAAUUACUGCUAGCAAGUUUAAAGCAUUUACAAAUCAUAAGAUACAACCACAACUCCAGAGUCACUCAUGAUCACUGCUAAUCUACAGCAUUAAACACACAUACACAAAGCAAAUAACAUAUUCCACAAUUGUUAGAAAUCUAAAAAAUAGCUGUUGUGGAAUUAAAGAUUU
rnacentral:lncRNA from 1 species